GUACAACUAAAUGAUGGUGAAACUGCAAAUGGCUCAUUACAACGGUUAUGAUGUACCCGGGAGUUCCGAUGGAUAUUUCCAGUAACACUAGAACUAAUACAUGCUCCUGCGUUUAUUAGUUUCGCACAGUCCGUCGCUGAGUCAUGGUAAACAGUUGAUCGACUCGACGUCCCGGAACAGUUUCCGCCCCAUCAGCUUCGAUGGUUGGGUAUUGGCCUACCAUUGCAACAACGGGUAACGAGGAAUUAGGGUUUGAUUUCGGAGAGGGAGCCUGAGAAACGGCUACCACAUCUACGGAUGGCAGCAGGCGCGCAAAUUACCCAAUGCAGACACUGUGAGGUAGUGACGAGAAAUAAUAAAGCGGGACUUCUGUUUCGCUAUUAUAAUGAGGAAUAACCAAAGGUCAUUCCGAUUAGCAACUGAUGGGAAAGUCUGGUGCCAGCAGCCGCGGUAAUACCAGCGUCAGUAGCAUAUAUUAAAAUUGUUGCAGUUAAAACGUCCGUAGUCUGUACGUCGUCACAAACUCACUGCAGUCUUCCGUUUUCUUCAUUGAAUGCGGUAGUUUCUGCAGUCACUCCCUUGAUCAAAUUAGGUUGUUCAAGGUAGACCAAGCCUUCAUAUUUUCACAUGGAAUUGGGUGAGGGAACUUAGGAGUUUAAGUUUCUCGUCUUAGGAUCAUCCGGGGUCAUUCGUACUCGUCCGCGAGAGGUGAAAUUCUUGGACCGGACGAAGACGACCAGCAGCGAAAGCAUCUGUCAGGGAUGUUUUCUGCGACAAAGGACGAAGGUCAGGGUAUCGAAGACGAUU
rnacentral:rRNA from 1 species